rnacentral:lncRNA from 1 species
AAAGUCUUCUGACAGCGAAUAGCAAGGAUAAAUGUUCUAAGGCCAUAAUGAAUUAGAUGUUUUGAGAAAUAGAGAAUAAGAAAUGGCAACCCACUCCAGUAUUCUUGCCUGGAAAAGCCUGUGGACAGAGGAGACUGGCGGGCUAUAGUCCAUGGGGUUGCUAGAGUUGGACAAGGCUUAGUGACUAAAUCACCACCACACCUCAGUGCAGCUGGAGCACGUUGAACUGAGGCCUAGAAUGGAGAGGAAUGAGGACUAUCUUAAAUGACCAUCCUAGAACAUCACAAUUUCUUUUCCGUGAUACUGAGUUAAUGGAUACAGAGUGAAAGUCCUGAGUAUGGGUGGAAGAGACCUACUCGCUGUGAAACGAGAAGCAGCC